UAAGCCCUACUUUGACAAAAGUGAAGUGCUGGCUAGACCUAACUUACAGCUGACACGUGAAAUAAUUGAGGCAGAUUUCAUCAAGAAAUUUGAUAGCUCGUGUGUCAAUUCACCUUCGAUUGCACUUUCAUCUCGGGAAUUCGCAUAUCUAAACAACAUUUGAAUGACAAACAGCCAGUGUGCAUUGUCAGCACGUGGCUAUCAUUAUCAUCAUUGGAAAUGAUGCUCCAGUGUUUUGUUAAGUUUUCACAUGAUGGGCUCAUGGUAGUGCCAUAUACAUUCAUUCCUUCAUGUCCUCAUGAAUAAACUGUUGCAAGUCAGCGCUGCGUGCGUGUCGCUCUCUCGUGUCCCUGUCUUUGUUGCGCUGUGGUUUUUCCCAAUGAAUCACCAAGAUGCGCAAACUGAACCAAGUGGAUAGUGCACAACAUUUACGCUUAUGUCUGUCUGCAAGCUGAAAGAUGACAGGAGCCUGAUGACGUCAAACAAGUCCGAAGUCAAACAGGGCAAAGUUUGUCACUGGACAUCGACGGUCAUGUGAAGUUGUGAUUCAAAGAGUUAUUUGAAGGCAGUGCCAGGAACAACUGCAGCUCUUGUGCAGCAGCUUGUGGAAAAAGGCCACGUAGACAAGCAUUUAAGCCCAACGACUGCUUCGGACCAGGAGGUGCGACUACAGAAGAACCACUGGAUUGCUCCGACCAUCGUAGCCAAUGCACCGCAACUGCCUGAUGACGAAAUCGAAGAGGAGGCAGCUGGCGAUAACGUGGUGUCUGAACACGCAGGCUCUGAGAAAAUUGUACACGACAUCAUAACAGGACGGAGGCUCAUGCUGUUGAUUGAUUUCAAUCACUGGAUAGACUGUACCCUCAUGGCCAAGAUCGAAAAGUCCUAGAACUACUCUACAUAUCAGCGAGCGAGACAGCAACUUCCAAUAUUUGUGCGCAGGGCUAUCCCGUUCAGGAGUAAAAAAAAUUUGUGCCAAAGAUUUCUGGCAGCCUCAACCAAUGGCCCGCCGAAGACAGCGGUGCCCUAAUACCCAGGCAAAGCCAGUGGAGGCCUACCAUACGCCAUCCUUCAAACCAGUGUCACUGGGCCCAUCGUUGCAGGCGACAGCUGCCGAACUGUUGGUGCCAGCAACAACACAGUCGACAUCAACUACACCGCUGGAAUCGCGCAUGCCGUCGAGGUUAGCCGCUACGGCAGAUGCAGCCGCGAUGGAAGAUGAGUGCGCUCUCUACCUGCGGGAGCUGUGGUUGACCAUACCCGUAGCCACAGCCUGCUACUGGGGGCCCCGCUCGUCCAUGAGGAGCACGCCACGGGCAUUUCCUUUGCCGCAGCUGUUGGCACUCGACUGUUCGAAUAGUAUAUGAAUUAGAUAUCGCUUUGCAUUUUCAUCCUGUAAUCCGUCUCGUUUCAUAUAUCUUUCUUUGUUACGUUAGCGAAUAAAUGUGUGUGCCACGCAUGUUUCCUUUUCCUGUCAAUGUCGACUAGAGCCUUGCUGCGAUACUGAGCCACUCGUCGCACUUCGUUUAUCUGGGCGCAGAUGUGGCUGAAGCCUGAGAAAGACUACUCAGUAGAAUUUGCACUUCUUGAGCUGUCGGGGUCAUAUGGCUUUUAAUGCAUUUCUUGUGUAAUUUAGGUGUCGUGGGUAAUUUACGAAAUACUAGCAAACAGAAAAUAGUGCCACGUAUUGGAAAACAGCCUAUUAUACCUACUUGCUCUAAAUCAUGGGGAUUGGCUGCCAAGCUCUUGAGAACUUAAUUAAUGAGUAAAGUUCACAUACGCCGCAAAGAAAGUUGAGCGGGAAGAAAUUCUUGUGGCAACAAUAAUAUGCGCUUUGGUUUUCGA